rnacentral:rRNA from 1 species
UACAGAGGUCUCAAGCGUUGUUCGGAUUCAUUGGGCGUAAAGGGUGUGUAGGUGGCGCCGUAAGUCGGGUGUGAAAUUUCGGAGCUUAACUCCGAAACUGCAUUCGAUAACUGCGGUGCUCGAGGACUGGAGAGGAGACUGGAAUUCAUGGUGUAGCAGUGAAAUGCGUAGAGAUCAUGAGGAAGACCAGUGGCGAAGGCGG